AUAUGUGAGGAAAACCUAGCUGCGACAUCUGUUACCCUGUUAAUUACCAGGGAUGACUCAGCUGAUCUGGCUGAAUAUGUGGAUGUCUUCUUCCUCCCUUACACUCUCUAGGUACCCUCCAGGAAGCUCCAUGUCCAGUGGACAAGGACCAUCCCAAAUAGAGGUGGGCUAUUCUUUGACUAUGGGUGCAUGACUGGCUGUACUUCCCUGGUAGGACUGCUGACCACGCUUUCAGGAAACCUUAACUGGUUCUGUCUCCUCCUAGAAGUGGUUCUCCGCUGAGGCCAUUAGUUACUG
rnacentral:snRNA from 1 species